UAGGGAAUCUUCCGCAAUGGGCGAAAGCUUGACGGAGCAACGCCGCGUGAGUGAUGAAGGUCUUCGGAUCGUAAAACUCUGUUAUUAGGGAAGAACAAAUGUGUAAGUAACUAUGCACGUCUUGACGGUACCUAAUCAGAAAGCCACGGCUAACUACGUGCCAGCAGCCGCGGUAAUACGUAGGUGGCAAGCGUUAUCCGGAAUUAUUGGGCGUAAAGCGCGCGUAGGCGGUUUUUUAAGUCUGAUGUGAAAGACCACGGCUCAACCGUGGAGGGUCAUUUGAAACUGGAAAACUUGAGUGCAGAAGAGGAAAGUGGAAUUCCAUGUGUAGCGGUGAAAUGCGCAGAGAUAUGGAGGAACACCAGUGGCGAAGGCGACUUUCUGGUCUGUAACUGACGCUGAUGUGCGAAAGCGUGGGGAUCAAACAGG
rnacentral:rRNA from 1 species